ACAUGCAGUCGAACGGACCCUUCGGGGUUAGUGGCGGACGGGUGAGUAACACGUGGGAACGUGCCUUUAGGUUCGGAAUAGCUCCUGGAAACGGGUGGUAAUGCCGAAUGUGCCCUUCGGGGGAAAGAUUUAUCGCCUUUAGAGCGGCCCGCGUCUGAUUAGCUAGUUGGUGAGGUAAUGGCUCACCAAGGCGACGAUCAGUAGCUGGUCUGAGAGGAUGACCAGCCACAUUGGGACUGAGACACGGCCCAAACUCCUACGGGAGGCAGCAGUGGGGAAUCUUGCGCAAUGGGCGAAAGCCUGACGCAGCCAUGCCGCGUGAAUGAUGAAGGUCUUAGGAUUGUAAAAUUCUUUCACCGGGGACGAUAAUGACGGUACCCGGAGAAGAAGCCCCGGCUAACUUCGUGCCAGCAGCCGCGGUAAUACGAAGGGGGCUAGCGUUGCUCGGAAUUACUGGGCGUAAAGGGCGCGUAGGCGGACAUUUAAGUCAGGGGUGAAAUCCCAGAGCUCAACUCUGGAACUGCCUUUGAUACUGGGUGUCUUGAGUGUGAGAGAGGUAUGUGGAACUCCGAGUGUAGAGGUGAAAUUCGUAGAUAUUCGGAAGAACACCAGUGGCGAAGGCGACAUACUGGCUCAUUACUGACGCUGAGGCGCGAAAGCGUGGGGAGCAAACAGGAUUAGAUACCCUGGUAGUCCACGCCGUAAACGAUGAUUGCUAGUUGUCGGGCUGCAUGCAGUUCGGUGACGCAGCUAACGCAUUAAGCAAUC
rnacentral:rRNA from 1 species